UAGGGAAUCUUCCGCAAUGGGCGAAAGCCUGACGGAGCAACGCCGCGUGAGUGAUGAAGGUCUUCGGAUCGUAAAACUCUGUUAUUAGGGAAGAACAAAUGUGUAAGUAACUAUGCACGUCUUGACGGUACCUAAUCAGAAAGCCACGGCUAACUACGUGCCAGCAGCCGCGGUAAUACGUAGGUGGCAAGCGUUAUCCGGAAUUAUUGGGCGUAAAGCGCGCGUAGGCGGUUUUUUAAGUCUGAGGUGAAAGCCCACGGCUCAACCGUGGAGGGUAAUUGGAAACUGGAAAACUUGAGUGCAGAAGAGGAAAGUGGAAUUCCAUGUGUAGCGGUGAAAUUCGCAGAGAUAUGGAGGAACACCAGUGGCGAAGGCGACUUUCUGGUCUGUAACUGACGCUGAUGUGCGAAAGCGUGGGGAUCAAACAGG
rnacentral:rRNA from 1 species